UACGUAGGGUGCAAGCGUUGUCCGGAAUUAUUGGGCGUAAAGAGCUCGUAGGCGGUUUGUCGCGUCUGCUGUGAAAACGCGAGGCUCAACCUCGCGCCUGCAGUGGGUACGGGCAGACUGGAGUGCGGUAGGGGAGAUUGGAAUUCCUGGUGUAGCGGUGGAAUGCGCAGAUAUCAGGAGGAACACCAAUGGCGAAGGCAGAUCUCUGGGCCGUAACUGACGCUGAGGAGCGAAAGCAUGGGGAGCGAACAGG
rnacentral:rRNA from 1 species